UUCUGGGUAAUAGUGAGAGCUCAAAAGGGAGACUCGCCUGGGAAACUCGGGGGAGAUGGAAAUAAACCAACAAAUAGCUGAAGUCAGGAUAGAAUAAGGAGAGAUGUAAGCAAGAAGCUGAGAAGACGCAAAGGAAGAAGGUUGGGGACUGAGGAGAGGGCCUCCUGCAAAGAAAAGAUGUGGGAGAAACAACCCAGGCAGCAGGCUGGCAGGCAGAGACUAUGGCUGUCCUUCAAGGGAUGGUAUCACUGGGACGCUCCUUCGAAUGCCAUCACAGGAGUGAGCACUAAGCUGGAGGAAGAGGUGAACUGGCUGAGUGAUGAGCUCGGGCUACCUGAGG
rnacentral:lncRNA from 1 species